GUGCUGGCCUCGAGUGGGUGAGGUGCCAUCAGCACUGCCCAAAACCUCCUGUUUUCUAGCGCAUCACCCAGACACUCCCUGUCUGCAAAAGGCACAGGACAUUUCCUGCUUUCCCAGUAUAAAGCAAUGACUGUAGUUUUUGCCCCUGGCUGAGUAAGGCCAGUUUUUAUUCCUCAACCCACCUGCUGUGACCUCUCAUGCCUUGAUGCUCCUGAAGAUGAAGCUGCUGUUUUCUCUGAAGCAUCAUCCCUGUUUUCACGUCCCCCUGUGGUACCUGAAGGCAGCUAUUUCAAACUCUGCAGCUUGUGCCAUCAGCUCUCAUUUACCUCUGGAACUAAGAAUGAAUACUGGCUGACCUCAGCCCUGUCGAGAUUCACAGGGGAUUCCAUCAGCAAUUUCCCAGGAUGGAAGAGGAACUCCCUCAGCACCUGUGGCAUUUCCUGCAUCCUCUCACUUUUUGUUCCCACUCCGGCAAGUGAGGAAGGACUUGCCCCAGUAGCUCCGUUAUGUUUUUAGAAGGCUGACCUAUCCCACAGAGAAGCUGAGAGCCUCCAGCAAGCAAGGAGAAACCUCCUCCUGUGAGUAAAUCUGGAGUCCAAGUGCAGCUGGCAGCUCCCAGCCUGGCCUCCAUUUCCAUCUUGCACAAUCCUGCUGGUUUGUUUCUACCUACCAAAGCAGCAGUUGAGGCCUUUGUACAGCUGCAGCUUUUUCGUGCUGAGAUUACUCGUUCCAUCAGUUGAAAACCAAAUGUUUUCUGCAGGGACCUCUCCUUCCUCACAGCAAACCCAUCCCUUGCUGCUGUUCACCUGGCUCUGAUGCAGCCUGACUGUGGCCAUUUGUACAGCUCUGCUGUGGGCUCCUGUUUUUGUCUGCUGACACAACGUAAGGGAGUAGAAUGAAGCUCCAGAAAAGCAGGCAUGGGUGUCUGUGGUGACAAACAGCAGGCCUCACAGACUGGAUCCUGACUUGGCCCGACACAGCCUUGAGAAAGCGAACAUCUCUUCAUGAAAACAGAAGCCUGCAGCAGUGAAAAACUUCUUUCCCUGCAAAAGAAUUCUACAGUCUGUUUUCCUGCUCCUGUUUCAACAAUCCCAACCGUCUCAGCUUUAAUAAUGAAAACAGUAUCUCACAAACAACCCUUUCUUUCAUGUAGACACCUUGUCCAAGACUGACCAAUUGCCAUGGGGUAACAGCUUGUUACUGACCAACAGGAGAUAGACACAAGAGGGUUUGUAAAACUUUACAUAAAGGGAUGUGAAAAAUAAAGCUUUUUUCACUCCUGAAAAGAGUGUGUCUCGUCUCUCUGAAAUGCGGUCAACAGUGACAGGUGUCUCGCUGUAUUUUCUGCAUCAGUACCACUCCCUCAACAUGGAACGGUGGGAUUGGGAUCCUGCCCUGGCUGUGGCUGAAGAGCAUGCAUGGCCUGGCACCACCCUGCAAGUCAUAAACUGCGGUCUGGCACCUGGAACACGUGUGACACCAAGUGAGCCACACCAGGCUCAGACAAACACCCUUUCCCGAGGACCUGGCAGUGUUCAACUGGAGCAGGACUGCCCUGUGUCACAGCAGGGCUUCCUUGAGGGCUGCAGUGUCAUCUGGCACAGGAAACACACACAGCUUGCACCAGCCUAAUACAAGUGGUGACACCUCAAGCCAGAAAGUCUCUGCCCCCAGCAGCAGGAGGUGGAAGAGCAGAAGAGCUCCUGCAGUCAGUGUGGCAGGAGGACUCCAGGGGUGCAGCACGGCUGCAGCACAUCCCUGAGGCACCACUGUGCUUUCCCUCGCUGCCCCUCACUGGGUUGGCACCUGCUGCUGGAAGGGCCCCUCAUGAGCAGUGGCAGCUGGGAAAGGCCUUCUCCAGCUGUGGCAGCUCCUCUCUUUUGUCUGCAGCCAGAAUUAGUUGGGGUCUCACUGUCCCAUCUUGAUGCAGCCAAGCAUCUGCUUGAUGGGGCUUCAGCAAAGCCCGAGCACUUGCAGGCAGCUUGUUCUUUAAAAAGCUGUUUAUUAUCACAGUGGACGAGUGGAAAAACAUGACGCAGUGUGCAGAGAAGGCUUCAGCAAAUUACAAACAAGUCUGAAAAAAGUUACACUUGUCUCUGAGUAAACAAGGCUCUUCCUGCAAGCUGCAGGAGUGUUGCUCCAAUGCCCCUUACAAACAAGCUGGUAAGACCAGGAAGAGCCUUAGCCAGAAAUGCUCUGCAGAUAAACAAGGGAUGUCUGGCUGCUCCCAGAGCAGCAACCAGUUUGCCCAGUAUGACUCUCAGAGCUGUGAUGUGCUCUGGGAAGCAGAUCCCCUGCUCUGGGAGCGGGAUGCUGUGAAACCCCUUGGUUUUGUUAGACCCAGAGUGAGCUGUGCUCAGACCUUCAGCCCAGUCCAAACAAGCAUUUGCUGCCCAAAAUCAUCUUUGGAAGGAGUGGCUGUGACUGGCUCUGUCUCUGGCACUGUAAUCUUGUUCAGUGCCAAACUCUGUCCUACAUGGAGCAGGGCUUGAUCCGGCCACCACUUAGCCUGAGGCUGCAUUUAGCUGCUGCAGACUCAUAAAUGCUGCUGUCCCUGAAAACACCCCCAGGAUGCCCAGCUUGUAACAGCCAGGUUCUUUAACAGUGAAAAAGAAAAAAACAGAUGCCAAAACCCAAACCAAACACUGUGUGAACUGAGGAACAACAAAGCAGCCCUCAUUUUCCAUGGAAAAUGUGCCUAUGCCUCUACACUCGUUUGUUCUAAUGCAGCUGUUGAGGAAGGAAGGAAUAGAAGGAGGAGAGAAGCAGUGACUCCUACACGGAAAGCGCAGCGGAUGGAAUCACGGAACUGAUGGAAUCACGGCCAGGCCACGGGGCACCAUCCUGCCCUGCGAACCGCUCCCGCCUCCUUCUCUUCCAGCUUCUUUCGCCUGAGGUGGGCACAGCACCGGGGCCUGAGCGAGUGCCGCGUGUCUGGGAUCUCCGCUGCGGCCUUCGGGAAGCAAGCGGCCCACGGCCACUCGGGGCAGCGAGAGCGGAGCCACGCAUCCCUCCCACCUCCCCGGUCCCUGGGACCUCGCCACCCUUCCCCAACAGCCCUCAGGAACACCACGUCCUCGCCAGCAUCCGGAGCAGCACUGACGCCGGGCAGCGCUGCUGUGCUUCGUACGAAGGCGCCGCGGAGCUGCGGGCGCUGCUGCCCGUCCCCGCUCCCCACUCCCCCUCAGACAGCGCCGGCCGCCGGGCGGGACGGACCCUGCUGAGGAAACACCACGGAGCCCCGAAGUUUCCAGCUCGGGAGCGGCGCAGCCCUUCCCCUCCCACCUUGCGAGCCUUUCACGCGGCACCACAGAAACUUUGCU